GAUGAACGCUGGCGGCGUGCCUAAUACAUGCAAGUCGAGCGAACUGAUUAGAAGCUUGCUUCUAUGACGUUAGCGGCGGACGGGUGAGUAACACGUGGGCAACCUGCCUGUAAGACUGGGAUAACUUCGGGAAACCGAAGCUAAUACCGGAUAGGAUCUUCUCCUUCAUGGGAGAUGAUUGAAAGAUGGUUUCGGCUAUCACUUACAGAUGGGCCCGCGGUGCAUUAGCUAGUUGGUGAGGUAACGGCUCACCAAGGCGACGAUGCAUAGCCGACCUGAGAGGGUGAUCGGCCACACUGGGACUGAGACACGGCCCAGACUCCUACGGGAGGCAGCAGUAGGGAAUCUUCCGCAAUGGACGAAAGUCUGACGGAGCAACGCCGCGUGAGUGAUGAAGACUUUCGGGUCGUAAAACUCUGUUGUUAGGGAAGAACAAGUACGAGAGUAACUGCUCGUACCUUGACGGUACCUAACCAGAAAGCCACGGCUAACUACGUGCCAGCCGCCGCCGUAA
rnacentral:rRNA from 1 species